rnacentral:lncRNA from 1 species
AUUAAGUCCAUGAAUGAAUACCAUUCUGAAGUUUAUAAAUCCAAUCGAAUUUUGACUAGAGAAUACUUUUCUCAUCCUUCAAUGUUUCUAACUCACUCCUAAAGCAGCAGUGUAGAAAUCGGAAGUUUACCAAAUUCUCGGAUAUCUGAUUACUACCAUAAAUGUGAGAAAACAGUAUAGACUCAGCUUCAGCUUGAGUCUACCAAAUGGUGGUGCCCUGUUUUGGCAAAUAUGCACCGAUGGGCAUACUCUGCUUCAGCAGAGGUGUACCGAAUGGUAUUGCUCUCAUUUGGCAUACGCCUACCGAACACACCCCUCUAGUUUUGGCUGGAGCUUAUCAAACCCCUAAGUUUGUCUUUCUCACAAUCUAAUUUUGAGUUUGUUUUUACAACAUAUGGUAGAAUCAGGGUCUGCCAAGGUGUGGCAUCACGCCCGAAGUGUGAUCCUUGGCACCCAACUUCUAAAACUUCAAGAAUAAAGAAUAUUGUUCCUGCAUCUCAACCAUACAGCAUCUAUUUCCGUCUCGAUGGAAUAGAUCAUUGGUUAUGCACCUGUUUGUGCCCCUACCAAUGUCAUUGAGGAGUACCAAUCUAGUAAUCAAUAUGUGAGACUAAUUUUGCUCCACCGAACACCGUUGGAAGAGCAAAAUUUUAACAUGAAUCGCCUUGUUGGCUAAAUCUCUUUAGUAACUCUGGUUUAUUUUGUGAACAUUUUUCUAUGUUCUUGGAUUCACGUUUGGUGUUUGUUUUAGUUAUGGAUUAUGUUAUUUAUACUGUCCUCGAAAAUGAGUUAAUUGAAUCAUGUUCUUGUAUACAGGUGACCGAAUUCAAUUAAACACGUGAUUAGGCAUGAAUAUGGAAAAGUUAGUAGCCUGGAUGAAUGCGAUACUACGCACACUAACCUUGUUUGUACCAUAUUUAGGGCCUCCGUAUUUAGACCUCGUAUAAAUACUUGGGGACUCAAAUGUAAUUAUGUAAUAAAUGAAGGGGCAAAUAUGUAAUAAGUGAUGAGCCCUUAUUCUAUAAAAGGACUCCUCACUCUCCUCAUUAGACGAGGUCAAGGUUUAGGCCAUGGGAAGAGAGAAAACAUCUAAAAGAGGGCAAACACAGAAAAUAGGCUAGAGAGCACACUGCCUCUAGCCUUCUUGUAUAUUCACCAUUCAGAGUGAAACAAUAUCAACAUCAGUGUGGACGUAGCCCAAACAUUGGGGUGAACCACGAUACAUCUUGUGUUCUUUACUUUCUUGCAGAUUCACGGUUGGAUUUAUGUUGUUCCAAGACCCCUCCAGUUUUAUGCAUCAACAUUUGUCACCGUCUGUGGGAAAUCGAUACAAAAAGCUAUGUCGGUUCUCUCUCAAAUUUUCAUCUCACCAUUGUGAAACCUUCACAACCUCACUACUGUCUACCGUGGAUCUGCAAAACCCACAUAGAGACACAGACACAUAGUUCUUUAUCUCUCUCUCAUUUCUCUCUCUCCUCACGUCUCAUUGUGUACAGUCAAUCAGUCACAGAUCUUGGCUUUAGUAAAAAAAAAAAGCCCUGCAGGAAGAAACAAGAGAAAACCCAAAACCCAACUAUCUCUGGCUCUCAUCCA